rnacentral:rRNA from 1 species
UUAAGUUAUUAAGGGCGCACGGUGGAUGCCUUGGCACUAGAAGCCGAUGAAGGACGUUACUAACGACGAUAUGCUUUGGGGAGCUGUAAGUAAGCUUUGAUCCAGAGAUUUCCGAAUGGGGAAACCCAGCAUGAGUUAUGUCAUGUUAUCGAUAUGUGAAUACAUAGCAUAUCAGAAGGCACACCCGGAGAACUGAAACAUCUUAGUACCCGGAGGAAGAGAAAGAAAAUUCGAUUCCCUUAGUAGCGGCGAGCGAAACGGGAAGAGCCCAAACCAAAAAGCUUGCUUGUUGGGGUUGUAGGACACUCUAUACGGAGUUACAAAGGACGACAUUAGACGAAUCAUCUGGAAAGAUGAAUCAAAGAAGGUAAUAAUCCUGUAGUCGAAAAUGUUGUCUCUCUUGAGUGGAUCCUGAGUACGACGGAGCACGUGAAAUUCCGUCGGAAUCUGGGAGGACCAUCUCCUAAGGCUAAAUACUCUCUAGUGACCGAUAGUGAACCAGUACCGUGAGGGAAAGGUGAAAAGCACCCCGGAAGGGGAGUGAAAUAGAACCUGAAACCGUGUGCUUACAAGUAGUCAGAGCCCGUUAAUGGGUGAUGGCGUGCCUUUUGUAGAAUGAACCGGCGAGUUACGAUUUGAUGCAAGGUUAAGCAGUAAAUGUGGAGCCGUAGCGAAAGCGAGUCUGAAUAGGGCGUUUAGUAUUUGGUCGUAGACCCGAAACCAGGUGAUCUACCCUUGGUCAGGUUGAAGUUCAGGUAACACUGAAUGGAGGACCGAACCGACUUACGUUGAAAAGUGAGCGGAUGAACUGAGGGUAGCGGAGAAAUUCCAAUCGAACCUGGAGAUAGCUGGUUCUCUCCGAAAUAGCUUUAGGGCUAGCCUCAAGUGAUGAUUAUUGGAGGUAGAGCACUGUUUGGACGAGGGGCCCCUCUCGGGUUACCGAAUUCAGACAAACUCCGAAUGCCAAUUAAUUUAACUUGGGAGUCAGAACAUGGGUGAUAAGGUCCGUGUUCGAAAGGGAAACAGCCCAGACCACCAGCUAAGGUCCCAAAAUAUAUGUUAAGUGGAAAAGGAUGUGGCGUUGCCCAGACAACUAGGAUGUUGGCUUAGAAGCAGCCAUCAUUUAAAGAGUGCGUAAUAGCUCACUAGUCGAGUGACACUGCGCCGAAAAUGUACCGGGGCUAAACAUAUUACCGAAGCUGUGGAUUGUCCUUUGGACAAUGGUAGGAGAGCGUUCUAAGGGCGUUGAAGCAUGAUCGUAAGGACAUGUGGAGCGCUUAGAAGUGAGAAUGCCGGUGUGAGUAGCGAAAGACGGGUGAGAAUCCCGUCCACCGAUUGACUAAGGUUUCCAGAGGAAGGCUCGUCCGCUCUGGGUUAGUCGGGUCCUAAGCUGAGGCCGACAGGCGUAGGCGAUGGAUAACAGGUUGAUAUUCCUGUACCACCUAUAAUCGUUUUAAUCGAUGGGGGGACGCAGUAGGAUAGGCGAAGCGUGCGAUUGGAUUGCACGUCUAAGCAGUAAGGCUGAGUAUUAGGCAAAUCCGGUACUCGUUAAGGCUGAGCUGUGAUGGGGAGAAGACAUUGUGUCUUCGAGUCGUUGAUUUCACACUGCCGAGAAAAGCCUCUAGAUAGAAAAUAGGUGCCCGUACCGCAAACCGACACAGGUAGUCAAGAUGAGAAUUCUAAGGUGAGCGAGCGAACUCUCGUUAAGGAACUCGGCAAAAUGACCCCGUAACUUCGGGAGAAGGGGUGCUCUUUAGGGUUAACGCCCAGAAGAGCCGCAGUGAAUAGGCCCAAGCGACUGUUUAUCAAAAACACAGGUCUCUGCUAAACCGUAAGGUGAUGUAUAGGGGCUGACGCCUGCCCGGUGCUGGAAGGUUAAGAGGAGUGGUUAGCUUCUGCGAAGCUACGAAUCGAAGCCCCAGUAAACGGCGGCCGUAACUAUAACGGUCCUAAGGUAGCGAAAUUCCUUGUCGGGUAAGUUCCGACCCGCACGAAAGGCGUAACGAUUUGGGCACUGUCUCAACGAGAGACUCGGUGAAAUCAUAGUACCUGUGAAGAUGCAGGUUACCCGCGACAGGACGGAAAGACCCCGUGGAGCUUUACUGUAGCCUGAUAUUGAAAUUCGGCACAGCUUGUACAGGAUAGGUAGGAGCCUUUGAAACGUGAGCGCUAGCUUACGUGGAGGCGCUGGUGGGAUACUACCCUAGCUGUGUUGGCUUUCUAACCCGCACCACUUAUCGUGGUGGGAGACAGUGUCAGGCGGGCAGUUUGACUGGGGCGGUCGCCUCCUAAAAGGUAACGGAGGCGCUCAAAGGUUCCCUCAGAAUGGUUGGAAAUCAUUCAUAGAGUGUAAAGGCAUAAGGGAGCUUGACUGCGAGACCUACAAGUCGAGCAGGGUCGAAAGACGGACUUAGUGAUCCGGUGGUUCCGCAUGGAAGGGCCAUCGCUCAACGGAUAAAAGCUACCCCGGGGAUAACAGGCUUAUCUCCCCCAAGAGUUCACAUCGACGGGGAGGUUUGGCACCUCGAUGUCGGCUCAUCGCAUCCUGGGGCUGUAGUCGGUCCCAAGGGUUGGGCUGUUCGCCCAUUAAAGCGGUACGCGAGCUGGGUUCAGAACGUCGUGAGACAGUUCGGUCCCUAUCCGUCGUGGGCGUAGGAAAUUUGAGAGGAGCUGUCCUUAGUACGAGAGGACCGGGAUGGACAUACCUCUGGUGUACCAGUUGUCGUGCCAACGGCAUAGCUGGGUAGCUAUGUGUGGACGGGAUAAGUGCUGAAAGCAUCUAAGCAUGAAGC